CAUUUUUUUUUAUUAUUUUAUUAUUCUCAAGUUCUGACUAACUUAAGCAUCGUAAGGUCCUCCACCAGAAUACCAUCGGUGAAUGCAAAUUUUCUUUGCAGAUUUUCUUCGGUGUCUCGAUUUCCAAACGGCAUCUUACUCCAACUACGUCAGCUUCUGGUCGGAGUCUUGCGGCAAUAGAACAUUAAUAUUUAUUCUAUACCAUAAGUUCUAUUUGGAAAUAACUUGUUGAAAACCAAAGGCAAGUUUAUCAAAGAUUAUGAACCUAAAUGAAAGAUAUCGGUAUACUGUUAUUUGAAAAGGUAUUUGUUCUUCCCCA
rnacentral:lncRNA from 1 species